GGUUGAGGUUGGGCUUGGGAUCUUGGAGGUCUUUUCCAGCCUCGCUGACUCUGUGAUUCUGCGAUCUGUCUGAAUUUCAGUACUGAACGAAUACUCUCAUCUCGUGCUGCUGCAGCAUGGAAAAUAGUAAUUUACAUUGCUUAAAUUAGCUGCUGCUUUUCGUCUUAUACCCCUCAGAUGAGCCUGGAGAUGUGAUUCCUUCACAUCCGACGCUCCUUUAGGUCCAGGUAAAGAAUCUUCAACUGUCAGCAUGCAGGUAAGGAUAAACCAGGUGUUACAUGAACAUGGAAAACUGAAUUUGGAUGCUCACCACUGUUGCUGUUUGCUUUAAUAGCUGGCUGGUCUUUGUGUGAUUACCAGACCAUUUAUCAAGAAUAACUGGAAAAUAGUGUGUAUAUCCAUAUGACCUUCUGGUGACCAAGUAAUCAGAACAAGAGCGCAUUGGUGACGUGGUUUCAGGUGGAAAGCUGUUGCCACAAAUAGGUCUGUGCUCAGGGAAUGCAGCACGGGCCAGAGGGCAGCGUUUUUUGAAGACCAAGGGAAGGCAAACAAGUGGAUCUCAAAGAACAGAGAUGUAACUUGGUGAAUCCACAUUGACUACUCCUGAUACCUUCUUUUCUUCCAAUUGCUUGAAGAUGACAUCCAGAGCAAAACACCAUUCUAGGAAUGGAGGAAUUUACUGCUCCGGAAAUGCUAGUUAUCAACCCUAAUGCAGCCUUAACAGCCAGUCAGUGAAAGCUUUUGAUUCUGUUUGCUACUAUGCAAGACAACAUGACCAAAUUUGCCGGUGAACAAAAAUUCUAUACAAGCCUGCAGGUCUCCUUGCUGCCCAGAUCUUGCUCUGAGCCCAGGUCCAUAUUGCGACACAGAACCAUGAGAUCAUUAAGGUUGGAAAGGAGAAGACCACUGUGACCACCAAGUCCAACCGCCAACUCAUCACCACCGCCAUGCCCACGCAUGGAAUCGUGAAGGUUGGAAAAGACCUCGGAGAUCACCAAGUCCAAAUCCAACCCCUCCCCACGGCACCCAUGAAAACACGUCCCUCAAGGUGUGGAUGGCCACAGCACUUCAACCAGCACCAAAGCUACUCCGUCCCAUCGUGUUGGAUGGGCCGUGGAGGACAGCUCUUCCCCUUGCAGGACCUGGAGAGGGCAGCAGAGAAAAGCGCAGCAGCCCCGGCUGCGAGCGCAUGGAGCAGGAGCAGCUGCGUUGCAGCAUCCAAACACACUUCUCGUGAAACAAGCAUAACUGAAACCAUGGAGUGAAUGAAAGCAGGAGGAGAGAGAGGACAAAUGGUCCCCAUGUCAAAGGAUGCACUCUGGGGUGAACAAAACAGGUAAAAAAUGGCAUCCAGUAUUUCAUCUGAAUAAAAAUAGCGCCUCAGAAAUGAAGAGGUGGGACAUCAUUGUUAGUUAUUCUGAAUGAUACAUUUCCAUUUCAGUGCAGUACCUCGAGGCUGUCCAAAAUUAAGUUGAAAGUGUGCAACACGUGCUCCCAUUGCCGUCUUGGAAAAGAACCAAAGAAUCAUAGAAUUGUAGAACCAUAGAAUCAUUGAGGUUGGAAAAAACCUCUAAGACCACUCAGUCCAAUCCAACCCAUCCCCACUGACCAUGUCCCUCAGUGCCACGAAUUUAAAUGAAUCCUACCUAGUGAAUUUAUGUGGAAGAAUUUGAGUCGAAUUAAACACUCAUUUAAUCUAAAAUAGAUGUCUUCACCUUUAAGGGAAAGAAGAAACCACACGUGGGAUGGAUAAACUAACUUUCCUCAAGAUUUUGCAGGGAAGAGAAAAUAAGGGAGAAGGGAGAGGUCUUUUCUGGGUGCAACAUUCUCUGAGGUGAUUCAUGCAAUCGAUUUUGCCUUAGGAUCAGGAAACAACUGGGGAUCCGAGCAUUACAGAUAGGCUUGGGAGCUGUUUAGAAUUUCCUGAAUGAAAGGAUUUUCACUGAAAAAUAUCAUUUUUGAAUGUGGUAAAGCUCCCUGCUCAUUUUCUGCCUUGUCUGAACAUUGUUAGAAUGACGGUUUCCCCUGUCUAGAACAAAAAUUUUUUGGAAUUUUGCUUUGGAUAGGUGAAAAACCUGGUGGGGAAAUGGAAAAAAACAUGUGUGGGUGAGUUCCUUGCUGUG